UUGCUUUGGCGGCAUAUUUACCAAAACUGAAAUAAUUCAGAAGAGUUUAGCAUGGCUCCUGUACAAGGAUGGCAUACCAAUUCAUGAAACAUUCCAUUAAAAA